UGCAAGCUUCUUUGGCGGUUUGGUCUGCUUAUUGAUUUCCCCGAAUUCUCACAUGCCCUGGUACCUCGCGGUUGUGGGACAUACAGCUAAUCAAGUACUAAAUGGAUCAUUUUCCCUACGGAAUACAUGUGCUGCGGUGAUUGCAGAGCAGGGAAGCGGAUCAAGGCCGAAGUGACCGAGCGGUUCUAGGCGCUACGGUUCGAAUCCUGCCUCAGAUUUACUACAUAACUUCACUUCCAGCAACCUCAGUGACUACCGACAUCCUGAGUACAUGUUUUUCCAUCACAUAAGGGACCAUCAAUAAUAACUACAGAGACAUAGGCCACUGAUCUCUCACAGUAUACCUUGCUCAUUGUCGACCAGUCCGUUACUUUUAUCCAUACAUUUAACUAAAAAAUGAGUGCUGAGUUUUUCUAAGUAUUAUUAUACAUUUCUUUUACUUGACGCUAUUGUCCAUGGAAAGCUAUCAUUUACUCUUUUCAAAUUCUGAUGAUUAUAGAUGUAUAAAUGACAAUAUAUUGUGUACUGUGAAUUGCUGUUAUGAUAACAUUAAUGCAAAACCAUCCAAAUGUUAUUUUGUAAAACGUAACACAACAGGAUGUCAAAGUUUUAUGUUAUGCUCCAGGGUAAAACAUAAUAAUGGUUUUUAUAGUUACACAUUAUGUCUAGAUUUUGUUAUCAAAGAAACAAUCUAUGAAAACUUCAUGCUUAAUGUGUCCCUUUCUACAGAUAUAUUAUUUCAAAAAAGUUAAAAUAAUAGCAUUUCUUUAUAAAAUUAUCCAAAAAUAUCGCAAGACCUCUGUUAUCUUAUAGUGGGAAUAACUCAGAGACACAUAAAAUAUGCCAAAUUCUAUAUCACAGCACCAUAUUAAAUAUAAUUCAUCUAUGUAAAUAGGACACAAAUUGUCUGAUACAUUUAGAUACUUAAUUCCUUAAAAUGUCAGUGUGUGGUUGAGCUUCAUAUUGUAUGUAUUAAGAAUGAAAGGCUCUUUACUGCUU